rnacentral:tRNA from 2 species
GCCUGGAUAGCUUAGAGGAAAAGCACACCCUUGGUAAGGGUGAGACCGUGGGUUCAAGUCCCACUCCAGGCUCAA